rnacentral:rRNA from 1 species
UACGUAGGGCGCAAGCGUUUGUCCGGAAUUAUUGGGCGUAAAGAGCUCGUAGGCGGUUUGUCACGGUCGGAUGUGAAAGCCCGGGGCUUAACCCCGGGUCUGCAUUCGAUACGGGCAGACUGGAGUGUGGUAGGGGAGAUCGGAAUUCCUGGUGUAGCGGUGAAAUGCGCAGAUAUCAGGAGGAACACCGGUGGCGAAGGCGGUUCUCUGGGCCUUACCUGACGCUGAGGAGCGAAAGCGUGGGGAGCGAACAGG